CCCCCCCCCCCCCCCCCCCCCCCCCCCCCCCCCCCCCCCCCCCCCCCCCCCCCCCCCCUGCUCCCUGGCCGGGGGAAGCACGCGGGUCACCGGGGACCGGCCGCCCUGCCCCGCGCUGCCCCGGCGGCUCCUGCCCCCGCCGCGGGCACGGGCUCUGCUCCGCUGCCGGUGCGAGCGCGGGCGGCUCCCCGGGAUGCAGAUUGUGAGGACAAGCUGCUGCAUCACUGAUCUGAAGAAGGGCUUUCUCUUUUAAGACUGCAAGAAGAUACUACUAACUGGUAAACACUUGUCUGGGUUUCUUUGCUUGUGGAAUAUUUGUUUGUUUUCCAUAAUAUUUUAGGCCAAGGAAUACAAAGUAUUUUGAUCUGUUGAAAACAAGAAGUAGUUAAUGUAGUAUUUUUUCUUUCUAAUUGUCUGUAGCUCACCAGACAAAAGACUCUGUAGCAGUGGAUAACGUGUGGGUAUUUAAAUUGGAAUACAAAUUGAUUAAAUUCCUGCUCUCUCAAUAGAAGAAAAAAGACUGGUUGUUUUUUUUUUUUUCCCUGUAAUGGCUAGUUAGACAGUUUGUUUGGCUUUUUAGCUGAGACAAAUACAAUGUGUCUGUACUGUGUCCUAUAUAAAUACUAUUUGAAGUGUGAUAGUGCAAGCAGUGAAAUUUCAAAUAUAGUGCUGCAGAGUCUGGAGAGAGAAAAAAGGAAGCCUUAACAGAAGUCCAGAUGCUUUGGAAGAUGCCAUUAAUGUGCUUGUAAUUAUUCAAGGGAUAUUUGUUGAGGCCUAAUUUUCACUCAGAAUAAUUUAUGAUAAUAAAACUAAGGCUAUCUUGUGAUUCCCAGACACACCAAGUCAUAUGCAGGCUGCUUUUAGCUACAGAACAGUAAUAGGAUCAUCAGUGAAGAGCCAUGACCGCCUAAUAGCAGUUUACCAGUCUGUAAGUUAAGAUCACAGCAAUCAAAAGGAGACCUGAGAAUUUAGGAUAUUUGAAUGUCUUGACACAUGUAAAUAAUGUGCACAUUGAUAGUGGGUAUCAGAGUUAAAGCUCUCUUCUCAAAUUCUUAAUGUCGUAGAUGAAGUAGCAGUUUUCCUCUGUAGUUAUACUUUACUGUAAACCUUCUGUAAAGCUUGGAUCUAUCUUUCUGUUUACUGCUGCCACUUGAGCUGCAGGGCUUGUAAAUUUGUGUCAAAAGAGAUUCUUAGCCCAAAUGGGGUGAUGUGGCUGGGUUCAAGGAUGAGCACAGAAAGAAACACAUCCUAGUCAAUAAGAAAACACUAAGCUUUCAUGACUUAAGUGUUUACAGAUGCUUUAUUAAUCUUCACUUGCCAGUUAAUUUGCCUAAGUUUAGCUGUUGCAGAGAAUAUUAAAAGGCUUGGUUUGGUUACUCUGCCAAACCCAGAUUAAUGAUAGGAAAGUUUUGAAAGCUUAUAGUAGUCAGCAAUGUGCAUCGGUCAGAAUGGCAUA
rnacentral:lncRNA from 1 species